rnacentral:rRNA from 1 species
GACGUAGGGCGCGAGCGUUGUCCGGAUUUAUUGGGCGUAAAGAGCUCGUAGGCGGCUUGUCGCGUCGACUGUGAAAACCCACGGCUCAACUGUGGGCUUGCAGUCGAUACGGGCAGGCUAGAGUUCGGUAGGGGAGACUGGAAUUCCUGGUGUAGCGGUGAAAUGCGCAGAUAUCAGGAGGAACACCGGUGGCGAAGGCGGGUCUCUGGGCCGAUACUGACGUGAGGAGCGAAAGCGUGGGGGAGCGAACAGG